CAGAUAUGCAACGAUAAACGAUUGAUACCAACUUCCAACGUGCUUUGAAUACCUUUCCUUUCCUUCGCUGAAUCUUCGACUAUAUUUGCUUCCUUCGUCGAAAAUAAAGUUCCACUUUGAAGCUUUGUCAUUUUGAAAUUGGUACCAUCGAACCGUUGAUAAAAAUCUAAUAAUUCCAAAAUUGGAGCGAGAUUGAAUUGAAUGAUUCGACACACUGAUUUAUGGUGAACGGUAUCAGAUACCUUAGUCUAGCCUACUGAGAAUGUUCCGGUAUUCUUGGAGCCAAUACGUUUGCGAAACGCGAGCCGAUAACGAAUUAGAAUCGGCACCUUUAUUAUCCUCGUCUUGAUCCGAGACACAUCGUAGAAAAAACAUUGAGACGUUGGCGAUCAUACGAAAUAAGGAAAAGAAGAAUUGUCGCAAAGAUCAAGAGAUAGAUCGUUUGAUAAAAUAAAAAUAUAUUCGUUAUGAAUCAAUUUUAUUUCAUCAAAUUGGAUUUUUAUAAUUAAUCAUUUGCAGUCUGAGUUAUUCUCGCUGUUUCGUUUCUGCCAAUCCGUGCUGAAUCAACCACGUUCGGUCAGUAUCAAGUAAUUAGCCGUUAUUUCAAUAUUUUAACGUUGAACUAAUAGGGGAAAAUUACCUAUAUCAGAGCAUUUUUGCUGUAUUUCACCUAUAUUUUUAUCACGUAUUCAAUGGAAACAAGUUUUGUAACAUAUUCAGCAUUUGAUGUACUUUCAUCAGAUAAUAUAUUUUUAAAUAUAUUACCGCUAUUAUAUAUAAAAUGGGACAAUAUAGAUUAUGUAAAUAGUUCAAAGAGACAAACAGAUUGGGUUUCUCAGCCUUCGAAGUUGAAUCUGAGGAAGAAACCUAUAAAUAACAAUAAUUACAGCAAACCAAUAAAAAGAUAAAUAAAGAAAAAUUUUUAUAAGAAAACCUUGUAAAACACAACGACGGCUAAACUACUUGAUAUAAUGGUCGAAGCUCGCUAUCCGCCGAGUCAUGUUUUCACAGACCUGUUAUUUAUCAGUAAGGCCAAUUGCAUUUCUUAAAAUAUUUGUAAUUAAGGAAAAACAAAAGCAACCCAAUUUAGGCAACGCUCCACUUUCGGUUUCCUAUCUUACGACAACAUAUUUAUAAAUAUACAUAGAUAUAUUUAUAUUUAAUAUCAACAAUUCGAGCAAACAACUCAACAUAAAAUUCGCGAAAAUGUGAUACUAACGAAAUGUGAUGUCAAGUCAAACUCGGCAUAGGUCCGCAAAAGAUUAAACAAUGAUAGAUACCUAAUUAAGGAAUAAUUUUUAUAUAAUUCUCAUAACUACUUACUUAUAUUUGUAAAAUAUUGAUAUUGUACAAUAAAUAUUAUAUACCUAAUACUAAAAUAAAUAAAAUAAUAUCUAUAAGAAAAAGAAGAGAGAGGAAAAGAAAAAGAUAAAUAACAUUGGUGCGAGAUAUCGAAUUCCGUGGGAACUUUUUAUGGUUAAUAGUUCCAAUCAGUUAUCAAUGGAAAUGCAAAGAAGAAAUAUGCGAAAUUCGUCAAAGAAAAAGAAAAAGAAGGAGACAGAAGAUAAAAAAAGAAGUAGGAAAGAAGAUAGAAGAGUGGAAAAGAGAUGGACGAAAACGGAAGUCGAGAAUGCGAAGUAGUGAUGGGUCACUUCCGGUCCCGGUCCUCGGAUCGAGCGUACUCUCUCGUUAUCUCUUUUUCUUUUUUUCUUUUCACUUCGACUGCUCGCUCGGUAGUUCUGAUCACUGUCCGCCGGCAUCGCUCGUCUCUCAUCAUUCCAUUAAGCCUAUGCAAAACGUGCAUUCUCUUUUACGACCAACGGAUUUAGAUAUAUCUUAAAAUACCUCAACAAAAUUAAUAUAUAGAAAUUAAAUACAAAGAAAUUAAUUUUUUGAUAUGGUUCCUUCAGAAGAAUAUCGAGCUAAUUAUAUUCACGUUAAUAACGAGUCAUUUUCUUCGAUCAUGCUGAUCGAAUCAUAUUUACUACAAUAAUUAUGGCAAGAAACAAAUAUGGCGUUUCCAAGGAUAUCGAUGUACCUUUUUCAUUACGGUAUAAUUAAAAAACGGCAAAUAGAAAUCGUUGAGUUAGAGGAUAACUAGCAAUUAGAAUACUUUUGUAAACGUAAAAAAUGGAUAUUUUCUUUCUACUUUCUCCUUUUAUCUUUUUCCCUUUUUUUCCCUUACUCUUUGGUUUUCUCUUCGCCGCAACAAGAAACGUAUCGUAGAUGCCGAAAGAGAGAAAGAGAGAGAAAGAUAAAGACUAGGGUGCCAAUCACGGAAGCGUAACAAUGGCUUUUCGAGCGAUUCGACCAACCAGACGACUGGCUGACG